CUCAGUGCAACUUUAUGUAAACAUUCAAUGAAAAAUAAACAUUCAAUUUCUAGUCUUUUUUACACGUAGUAAGUUUCAAUAACUCCAUACCAUUACAUAUCGACAUUCAAGGAGCAAAGAUGAGACGUCGCUGUGUGGUGAGAACUGUGGGAAAAUCGUAAACAACAACAAUCGCCGGUGGGGAGAAGCCAUUUUUCCAUUGACUGGAAGCCUACUUUAUUUAUUGUAGGUUACAAAAAAUAAAGAAAAUGGCGGCAUUGUUGUUGUUAUCGAUUUUCUAUCAGUUCUCACCACACAACGACGUCACAUCUUUGCUGCUUGAAUGUCGAUAAGUGAGGGUGAGCAUCUCCAGUGGAGAGGACUUGUGGCCCAGUGCAUGGUCCAGUACUACUCAGGGGGAAUGUACCAAACAAGAAGCUGGUCUGGAUCAUGUCCAGGCGCAAAGCCCGGAGCCUGCGAGCCAAGCGCUGCCAGGCCUGCCCACCAUCCCCGAGGCCAGCCGGGAUGAGAGCGAGGACUCGUGUGAGGACAUGAGCUGUAAGGAAGACAGCCUCUACGGCUCCCCGGGGAGCAAUGGUGGAGGAGCCUCCACCCUCCGCUGCAGAGAGUAGCCCGCCAACCCGUGACCUGCUGUCCCUGGAGGGGAGCUGUGUGUGUUGUUUGUUUUAGUCCCAACCUGUUUGGUGUCCUAACUAACAUUUAUGCACCAGUGGAACCAAGUGCCAAUGUAUGUCUGGUUUACUGUGGUUAGAUUCUGUAGCUUUUUCUAAUUUCAAUGGACAGAAUGUCUUGGCAGCGUUUUGUCAAUAUUUGUAGCUGUGAUGGUUUUAUUUAAUUUUAGUCUUUCUCUCAUGGCAGGUUGCAUGCUAACAAGACAUAUUCCAAGAGACCAGCUGUUACAGCUGCAAUGUUAAACAUGAGUGAUAUGUAGUAUGGGAUGGUUCUGCCUAUUUAUGUAAGGACAGUACAUGCAUAUUUAAUUGUGAAUGCACACGUUACUGUCUAAAAUAGCCCAUUGUAAAAAAUACAAUACAAGAGAACAAAAACAUGUGAUGAAUACUAUAUUGACUAAUAUUAAAAAAAAUAAUGUGACCCGUCCUAAAAAAAUGAACUGAAAUAAAAA
ensembl:lncRNA